rnacentral:rRNA from 1 species
UAAAAUUUAAAAUUAAGAUACUAAAAUAGUAGAUAAAUAUUUAUUUAAACUUAAAUAAUUUGGCGGUAUUUUAGUUCAUUUAGAGGAAUCUGUUUAAUAAUUGAUAUUCCACGAAUAAAUUUACUUAAUUUAUUAUUUUGUAUAUCGUUGUUAUAAAAAUAUUUUUUAAUAAUAAUUAAUAUUUAAAAAUUAAUAUGUAAAUUUAAAUCAGAUCAAGAUGCAGAUUAUAAUUAAGAAUAUAAUGGAUUACAAUAAAUUUAUUUAAAUGAAUAUUAAUUUGUAAAAAUUAAUUUAAAGUGGAUUUAAAUGUAAUUUUAUUUAAUUUAAUAAAAUGAUUAAAAAUUAAAAUAUGU